UUUUAUGGAUGAGCAAAGGAAAUGGUUUAUUGAGAUGGAAUCUACUUCUAGUGAAGGUGCUAUGAA
rnacentral:pre_miRNA from 2 species